rnacentral:rRNA from 1 species
UUCUGGCUCAGGAUGGACGCUGGCGGCGUGCCUAACACAUGCAAGUCGAGCGAUUACUUCGGUAAAGAGCGGCGGACGGGUGAGUAACGCGUGGGUAACCUGCCUCAUACACAUGGAUAACAUACCGAAAGGUAUGCUAAUACAGGAUAAUAUAAGAGAUUCACAUGGAUUUCUUAUCAAAGCUCCGGCGGUAUGAGAUGGACCCGCGUCUGAUUAGCUAGUUGGUAAGGUAAUGGCUUACCAAGGCGACGAUCAGUAGCCGACCUGAGAGGGUGAUCGGCCACAUUGGAACUGAGACACGGUCCAAACUCCUACGGGAGGCAGCAGUGGGGAAUAUUGCACAAUGGGCGAAAGCCUGAUGCAGCAACGCCGCGUGAGUGAUGAAGGCCUUCGGGUCGUAAAACUCUGUCCUCAAGGAAGAUAAUGACGGUACUUGAGGAGGAAGCCCCGGCUAACUACGUGCCAGCCGCUGC